AUCAAAAGUUUGUGCUUCAUCUUCAAAAAUCCAAACUAAUAACACACUUGGCCUUAUGAGAAAUAAUAAGUAUUUUUCUAUUUACAUGAGAAUUUAAUCUCAAAACAGGAAUCAGAAAUAUAUUAAGUCCAGGGCAUAAAACCUAAACCACUGCUCAUAUUUAUUCUUUCUAAAUAGAGCAAAGUGUAAAAUCUUCUCCAUAAAAUGCACAUUGUGCUUAUGAAAAGGCCAAAGUCUUAGUGAGAAUCAUUGGUAUUCCAUAGAAGAGUGAAUUAAACACAGCCAAGGGAAGACCCAAGUCUCAUACUUCUCUUGUAUAUUCCAGAGUUCCAGGGGAAUUCCAGGUGAUAGAGGUGAUCUCCCAUACUGUUAAAGCAAGGUUGCAGACACUUGGGAAUUUUGGUCCCAGUACUCUAGGAGGUCACACCUCUGUCCUGGACAAUACUACAGGAAUGUAUACUCUUCCUAUGACUCAUUCUGGUCAUUCUUCCAGCAUCACAAAAAC
rnacentral:lncRNA from 1 species